GAUGAACGCUGGCGGCGUGCCUAAUACAUGCAAGUCGAGCGAACGGACGAUAAGCUUGUUUCUUUGAUGUUAGCGGCUGACGGGCGAGUAACACGUGGAUAACCUACUUAUAAUUCUUGGAUAAUUUCGGGAAACCGGUGCUAAUACUGGCUAAUAUUUUGAACCGCAUGGUUCAAAAGUGAUAGACGGCUUUGCCGUCUCUUUUAGCUGGUUUCGGGGUGCAUUAGUUAGUUGGUAAGGUAACGGCUUAACAAGGCAGCGAUGCAUGUCCGACCUGAUGAGGUGGUCGGCCACAAUGGAACUGGGGAAAGGUCCAGAAUCCUAAGGGAGGGAACAGUAGGGAAACUUCCGAAAUGGGCGGAAGCCUGAAGGAAGAACGACGCGGGAGUGAUAAAAGUCUUCGGAGCGUAAAACUCUGUUUUUAGGGAAAAACAUAUGUGUAAGUAACUGUGCACAGCUUGACGGUAACUAAUAAGAAAGCCACGGCUAACUACGUG
rnacentral:rRNA from 1 species